CUUACUAGUUCCUUAACAAUUAGCAGCAAGAUGUUUUAUUGGAAAAUGGCAGUUGCCAUCUUGUUAGUAUGUGCGAUAUCUCCCCCUCAAGUAGUGACUGGUACUUGUACGGAGACUCAGAAGGCAAGAGUCAUGUUUUACUGUCAUACUUUCACCAAGAAAGGAUCCACUGGCAACGUUAUACACAUCCACAGUGACUGUUGUGUAGCGGUGAGACUGGUGCCGAACAGCGACAUGAAAUGCGUCGUCUCCAUGCUAACAGAUAAAGAGAAGGAGGAACACGAUGAGGAAAGGAUCCUGUCUCUUGAAUCGCUUUGCGAGUAUCAUCCUCCUCCAUCUCCACCCUCUUCCUUGUCAACAUAAUAAUCAGAUCAGGGUGUAGAGGAACGGAUGUCACCGCUAAUGGGGUCGGUGCAUGACACUAACAUACAGUUUGAAAGAAGAUACAUAUGCUAGUUAAUAAAAAUGGUCAAAGCAUGAUCCCUGUGAUGUCUAUCUUUCGUACUAAAGAAAAAAAAACGUUUGAUGUAUGUAGCAGGCAUGACCCCAUGCCUGCUCAUCAUAGCAAGCAUGGCCCAGUGUCGGUGUAGAUCAUGCCAGAUCUGAUCCUCCUGGGAGCCAACAGUGUCUCCAAUAUCUACAAAAGGAUCUGGUGUCAA